GGGGCCUCGAUCGCGCUAUUGUCAUGGAGACGGGAAGCUGGCUGCAGCGGCGGCGGGCACUGUGAGGCCGAGGUGGCUGCCAGCCGGCCAAUGUCUAAGCGAGGCCAGCGGCCCAGGCGGCCCGAGCCUGAGGGGAGCGCGCAGCCGGCCAGUGGCGGCCUCGCCGGCGGCCUCUUCUCGGGCUCGCAGUGGGCCCGAGUCGUCGCCGGGAGCUCCCGGGAGCAGCGUCCCCGCCCUGCUCCCCUCGCUCCCGCCUCUUGCGGCCCCACGGCCCCUCAGCGCCCGCCCCCGGCUCCGCCCGCCGCAGCCGCAGCCCCUGGCGCUAACGGUCGGUAACGGCCCGCGCGCGCCGCCCGCCGGGGGCUCGCGCCAGCCACGAGGGAGCGUCCGCGGCCCGCGCGCCCGCGCGGCGGAGGAGAGGUGAUAAAUGUGAUGCUUCUAUAAUACAUUUGGAUGUUGUCAGCUAAGUUCACUUAGGAAC
rnacentral:lncRNA from 1 species